GAUGAACGCUGGCGGCGUGCCUAAUACAUGCAAGUCGAGCGAACGGACGAGAAGCUUGCUUCUCUGAUGUUAGCGGCGGACGGGUGAGUAACACGUGGAUAACCUACCUAUAAGACUGGGAUAACUUCGGGAAACCGGAGCUAAUACCGGAUAAUAUUUUGAACCGCAUGGUUCAAAAGUGAAAGACGGUCUUGCUGUCACUUAUAGCUGGAUCCGCGCUGCAUUAGCUAGUUGGUAAGGUAACGGCUUACCAAGGCAACGAUGCAUAGCCGACCUGAGAGGGUGAUCGGCCACACUGGAACUGAGACAAGGUCCAGACUCCUACGGGAGGCAGCAGUAGGGAAUCUUCCGCAAUGGGCGAAAGCCUGACGGAGCAACGCCGCGUGAGUGAUGAAGGUCUUCGGAUCGUAAAACUCUGUUAUUAGGGAAGAACAUAUGUGUAAGUAACUGUGCACAUCUUGACGGUACCUAAUCAGAAAGCCACGGCUAACUACGUG
rnacentral:rRNA from 1 species